AUUGGAGGUGAUCAGACGUACAAGUGCGACCACCCAAAAAAAAAAAACACACCCACGUUUUCUUGCUAAUUUUUUUUGUAUUUCGAUAUUCUACGUACACAAGCCCAGAUUAGAAAUCCCACCAACUGUAAUUAAAUUUGGGGUUAUUUCGGUGCCAGAUCAAAGGUUCUGGCAAGCAGAGUAGCCGAUGCACAGCGAUCAUCAGAACAUCUCUUUUGGCCGAAGCCAUCGGAUGACCUACUGUAGUAUAUAGGAACAUAAUAAUUAUAAUAAUAAUAAUAAUAAUAAUAAUAACUAUAAUAUUAAUAAUGAUAAUAAUAUGAACCAUAAUAAUAAGACAAUAAGUAAACUUAAGACCACCCUAUUUCCUUAAGUCCAUCCUAACCCUAAAUAUGCAAGUUCAACAAUGUACGCCUUUAGGGGACGCACUUGACUCUCAUUGGCUUUCGAGUAAGAACUUCAUAUAUACAUAUUUGUAGAUUUUGCUAGUGUCAGCACUUUUGCUGUCACGCGCGAUCGGCCUGCUGGCCACGCUAAGUCAGUCUUAAGAAAAGUAAAGAAUCGAGAAGAAGUGAAAAAUCUAAUAAACGGAGCUAUGCUCCUCUACACAAAACAUAAUUAAAAGAUUGAAUUAUUACUGGCGGACUGGAACUAUUACAUGGCGACCGUGACAGGACCCCCUACGUUGGACACUGAUGGAAGAACAAAUCUGAGACAUAAUUUUUGGAAUAAAUAUUAAUCAAAAUCGUUGGAGCUGAUGGCAAACAGAGUGAGUAAAGUUUGAGUGUGAUAUGGGCAAGCGCGGAGGCGAAAGCAAAAAAAUGAAUAAAAGAAUAGCCCAUAUUAAGUGGCUACUAUUCACCAAAACGCCACCACCCGCAUGGUCAACUGCACAGAAAUUGCAGGAAGAAUUAGACCAUCUGCAAAAUUUAAUAAAGCAGAAAAAAGAAAAGCCCCACACAAAAACUUACUCUGACAUAAAAAUUUUAACCAAUAAAAAAAUUAACACAACUAAACCGCCUCCCAGGAAACCGCUCCCGAUCAAAGAGAAGAAGUGCCCAGCGGACUGCGAAGGAAUCUGGAGCCCCUUUUGUCAAGGAACCUGUGCGAUGACCAGCACCGGUACCGCCUGAGCCCAUAGGCCCAGGACAGCAGCAGCCGAAAACCAAGUUCGGGAGGCAAACCGCCACCUGAACCUUCGAGGGAGCGUUAGCGUGCCCGGCCGGCGACGUCCAGCUAACGCAAGGAAGAUCUGCAGCCAAAACAAGGAGGAGCUGCAACACAAAAUAUUUUUUUUUGUUGCCCUGCGUGGCACACCACCCUCGAUGCACUGCGCUGCAUAUUAAUUUUACACAAAAUAUUGUAACAUUGAGCGGAAUCUUUUCUGCCCGAUGAGAAGAAUGGCCCGUAAAGCCAUCCACCAAUUAGGCAGGUAAAUGUAACAAUAUAACCAAAAACAAAAAAAAAAAAAAGAAAUAAUAAUAAUAUAGUAAUUAAAUAUACACGAAAAUGGGUUGGUUUGGAUCUGACGAUAGUCAGACAAAAGAUAAUACGGCCAAUGUGGUCAAUAAUGUAAAAAUAGUCGACCACACAGAAGACAUUCAGUCACUGUGGGUACUCCUGUUAAUUUUAACUAUCGUAACUGUCGCUCAAUUUAUACUAACGCUUUACGUUAAACAUAACAAAAUAAUAAAGAAGCGCUAUAUAAGUAGAGCGAACAAUUUGAACACGAUUUA